rnacentral:rRNA from 1 species
UACGUAGGGGGCUAGCGUUGUCCGGAAUCAUUGGGCGUAAAGAGCGUGUAGGCGGCCCGGUAAGUCGAACGUGAAAUCCCCGGGCUCAACCCGGGAACUGCGUCCGAUACUGGAAGGCUUGAAUCCGGGAGAGGGAUGCGGAAUUCCAGGUGUAGCGGUGAAAUGCGUAGAUAUCUGGAGGAACGCCGGUGGCGAAAGCGGCAUCCUGGACCGACACUGACGCUGAGGCGCGAAAGCCAGGGGAGCAAACGGG